GAUGAACGCUAGCGGCAGGCUUAAUACAUGCAAGUCGUGGGGCAGCAUGAGUGUAGCAAUACAUUUGAUGGCGACCGGCAAACGGGUGCGGAACACGUACAGAACCCUCCUUCAAGCGGGGCAUAGCCCAGAGAAAUUUGGAUUAAUACCCCAUAAUAUAAUGAAGAGGCAUCUCUUUGUUAUUAAAGAUUUAUCACUUGAAGAUGGCUGUGCGGCUGAUUAGGUAGUUGGCGGGGUAACGGCCCACCAAGCCUGCGAUCAGUAACUGGUGUGAGAGGACGGCCAGUCCCACGGGCACUGAGACACGGGCCCGACUCCUACGGGAGGCAGCAGUAAGGAAUAUUGGUCAAUGGACGCAAGUCUGAACCAGCCAUGCCGCGUGGAGGAUGAAGGUCCUCUGGAUUGUAAACUUCUUUUAUAUGGGACGAAAAAAGGCUUUUCUAAGUCGUCUGACGGUACCAUAUGAAUAAGCACCGGCUAACUCCGUGCCAGCCGCCGCAGUAAGAC
rnacentral:rRNA from 1 species